AACAGAGGGAGGUUGGGGGAAGUGCAGGGCCAGGCGGGUCUGGGAGGAAAAGGGCCAGACGCCUGUUGUGAAAGAGCUGAGCUCUGUCCAGUGGGGACCUCACCUGCAUGGUCACCAGAGAGAGAAAGACUAUGAAUUCAGGCUAAUUAGGGACUUGCCCCCAGUUAGGACCCAGCCUCCAUUCUGGGUCUGGGGACAAGGGCCUGCAGAGCGGGGUCCCUGCAGCGGGCUCUCCCACCUCAGCUCACAGCUGCGCGUCGGGCGUCUUAGCCCUACACCCUUCUCGGGGCCAGUGCUGUCUUGUGUCCCUUACCAGAUUGUAAGCUCUGCGAGGGCUGGGAGCCCCCAGGGCCACACUGGGCCUUUGUGCCACAAGCACCGGGUGCACAGCCGAGGCCCCGCCCUCUGGCUGACUCGGAGCAGCCCAGCCAGGCAGCGGGCAACCAGGAAGGAACAAGGCUGACCCCCUGGCUUUGAGCAGAGAACAGGAGGCCCUCCGGAGAGGCCGGCGGUCCACGAGGGCGACUGUGAAACCAGGGACCCUGAGGAGACUUCUCUCCUUCACCUGAACUCUACGAGGAGAUGGAGCCUGGGUGCCAGGAGAGACCCCUGUGCCCGUCCCUCUCCUCCGGGAGCCAAGACGAAUGUGGGAUGUCUCUGAACGUCCUCCGGGAGGAGCCCCAUCUCAGAGCUGCUCCUCAGGGCCCGAGCCGAAGGACCGGGAUGCGGGGCUGGAGAGACAGGCCAUCCACGAACAGACAAAGGGGGGGCACCAAGCUCCACGAGAGGCAGGCCUGCGGCCCCAGGGAGACAACGGUGCCCUGGGACCAGGUGCCAAUGGAACGUGAGUGAUGCCAGCAGCUGCCAGGGGCCACUUUACAAAGGACGAGGGGAGCUGGGGCCAUAGGGCUGGAUGGUUGUUCCCAACACUGGGUAAUUUAAAGCAAGGAAAUGAUAGGCUCGAAUCAAAAUGUUCGCCUCAAGGCACAGAAUAAAAUUCAAGGCCAUUA